rnacentral:rRNA from 1 species
ACGAAGGGUGCAAGCGUUACUCGGAAUUACUGGGCGUAAGGGGUGCGUAGGUGGCCAGGUAAGUUCGGUGUGAAAGCUCGGAGCUCAACUCCGAAAUGUCAUUGAAUACUAUCUGGCUUAUUUUGAGGGUCGGAGGGGAGACUGGAAUUCUCGGUGUAGCAGUGAAAUGCGUAGAUAUCGAGAGGAACACCAGUGGCGAAGGCGAGUCUCUGGACGACACCUGACACUGAGGCACGAAAGCUGGGGGAGCAAACAGGA